rnacentral:rRNA from 1 species
GGCGAUCAGAUACCGCCCUAGUUCUGACCGUAAACGAUGCCAACUAGCGAUCCGCCGGCGGAUUCAUUCGCCCUGGUGGGGAGCUUCCCGGAAACGAAAGUCUUCCGGUUCCGGGGGAAGUAUGGUUGCAAAGCUGAAACUUAAAGGAAUUGACGGAAGGGCACCACCAGGAGUGGAGCCUGCGGCUUAAUUUGACUCAACACGGGGAAACUCACCCGGCCCGGACACCGUGAGGAUUGACAGAUUGAUAGCUUUUUCAUGAUUCGGUGGAUGGUGGUGCAUGGCCGUUCUUAGUUCGUGGAGCGAUUUGUCUGGUUUAUUCCGAUAACGAGCGAGACUCUGGCCUACUAAAUAGUUGGUGCAUUGCCUCUGUGCACACGACUUCUUAGAGGGAUUUUCGGUGUUCAGCCGCACGAAAUUGAGCAAUAACAGGUCUGUGAUGCCCUUAGAUGUCCGGGGCUGCACGCGCGCUACACUGGCAAAAUCAGCGUGCUUGUCCUCGCCCGAAAGGGCUUGGUAAACCCGUGAAAAUUUGCCGUGAUUGGGAUCGGACAUUGCAAUUAUUGUCCGUGAACGAGGAAUUCCUUGUAGGGGCGAGUCAUCAACUCGCUCUGAUUACGUCCCUGCCCUUUGUA